rnacentral:rRNA from 1 species
UUUUAAAGAGAGUUUGAUCCUGGCUCAGGACGAACGCUGGCGGCGUGCCUAAUACAUGCAAGUCGAACGAACUU